rnacentral:lncRNA from 1 species
GGGCAUCGGUCUUGCUGACUGCCCUCUCUGCAGCUGUCAGGACUGGGCUUGGCAUGUAGUAGGUUGCCCAUAAAUGUUUGUUGAAUGAAUACAUAUCGUCAGGAAAAAGGAGGUUGUUGUAAGGACACGCAGAAGAACCAGAACUGGAACUGGAAGUCAGAGCGGAAGUGGCCCCAGGGACCAACAUGUUAGGACUUCCUCACCUCCUUGGGACAUGGUUAUGAAGAUGAGAGUAAAUGACACGUCACUUCUGGACAGAAACUUUCAGAGUCAACGUGCAAUUCAUGAUGUCCCUGUCUCUGCCUUAAUCAUAGUGGAAGCACCUGCUGAGAUGGAAGUUUCCUCAGCCUGGUCUCUGAGGGUCUAUGAUGAGCAAAGUCUUCCUUAGGAUCUGCUUUGGAGAAAUAGAUCUUAACUGAAUUAAGAUACUGAGGUUUGGCAUUAUUUAUUUAUGUAUCUAUUUAUUUACUUGUAACAGCUUUGUUAGAUUUUGGUAUCUG